CGCGAGUCCGAUAGCGAACAUGUAUCGCGAGGGAAAAGUGAAAAGAAUUUUGAAGAGAGAGUUCAACAGUACGUGAAACCGUUUAGAGGCAAACGGACGGGACCGCAAAGUCUGUCGCGCGGAUUCAGCCUGCCGGCCGGCGGCGUCCGUUCGCGCUUAUCCCCGUCUCGGGGAGGGCGCGGACGGGUCGCGGUCAGCUGGCGGCGGGCGCACUUUCGCGUGGCGGAGCGCCACGACCGGUUCGCGGGCGGCCAAAAACCGUCGGGCAAGGUGAUCCGCGCCCCGGCGCGGACGUUAUAGGCCCGGCGAGAUGCGGCCCGCUAGCGGACCGAGGGAGACCAGGCGCGGCCUCGCGCCCGGCCGGACCGUGCGGCGCGCGUACGACUGACGGGGACUGGACCCAGUGCCCGUCGACCGCGCGCGUCGGAGCGGACCGGAGGGAGGUGCGGGGCUCGGGGUCGGUGGCGAAUCGGUCGGCAGCCCGUCCGACCCGUCUUGAAACACGGACCAAGGAGUCUAACACGCGCGCGAGUCGCAGGGCCGUACGAAACCCGAAGGCGAAACGAAAGUGAAGGCCGUCCCCGAGGACGGCUCGGGCGGGAUCCGCGACGGAGCGAUCCGUUGCGGCGCACCGCCGGCCCGUCUCGGCCGCCGCGUCGGCGAGGCGGAGCAGGAGCGCGCGCGUUGGGACCCGAAAGAUGGUGAACUAUGCCCGAGCAGGACGAAGCCAGAGGAAACUCUGGUGGAGGUCCGCAGCGAUUCUGACGUGCAAAUCGAUCGUCGAACUUGGGUAUAGGGGCGAAAGACUAAUCGAA
rnacentral:rRNA from 1 species